UACAGAGGGUGCAAGCGUUAUUCGGAUUUACUGGGCGUAAAGCGUGCGUAGGCGGCUCAUUAAGUCGGUUGUGAAAUCCCUGGGCUUAACCUGGGAACUGCAGUCGAUACUGGUGGACUAGAGUACGGUAGAGGGUGGCGGAACUCCGGGUGUAGCGGUGAAAUGCGUAGAUAUCCGGAGGAACACCAGAGGCGAAAGCGGCAUCCUGGCUCAUAGUUGACGCUCAGGCACGAGAGCAUGGGGAGCGAACGGG
rnacentral:rRNA from 1 species